ensembl:ncRNA K08A8.20 ncRNA
CUCGCUCGUUUUCUUUUCCACAUACACACAUGGGUGAAGCUUCCUACCGUAGUCUAUCCCGGAGAAUUUAGAGACACGAGACGCCGAUGUGAAAGAGUGUUGUGCUCUUCGGGAUAGACAAUGUGUGGAUUGCAGAGAAGUGUGAAGA